UCAAGUCAUCAUGGCCCUUACUGUCCAGGGCGGACACACGUGCUACAAUGGCCGGCACAACGGGAAGGCGAGUUCGCGAGGACGAGCGGAUCCCCUCAAAGCCGGCCGCAGUUCGGAUUGAAGUCUGCAACUCGACUUCAUGAAGCUGGAAUCGCUAGUAAUCGUGGAUCAGCCAAGCCGCGGUGAAUACGUUCCCGGGCCUU
rnacentral:rRNA from 1 species